rnacentral:rRNA from 1 species
UGGGGAAUAUUGCACAAUGGAGGGAACUCUGAUCCAGCGACGCCGCGUGAGCGAUGAAGGACUUCGUUUCGUAAAACUCUGUUCUAUGGGAAGAAAAUGACUGUACCAUCGGAAAAAGCACCGGCUAAAUACGUGCCAGCAGCCGCGGUAAUACGUAUGGAGCGAGCGUUGUCCGGAAUUAUUGGGCGUAAAGGGUGCGUAGGCGGCGUUACAAGUUGGAUGUGAAAUAUUGUGGCUCAACCACGAACGUGCAUCCAAAACUGCAAAGCUUGAGUUAAGGAGAGGGAAGUGGAAUUCCUGGUGUAGAGGUGGAAUGCGUAGAUAUCAGGAGGAAUACCGGUGGCGAAGGCGACUUACUGGACUUAAACUGACGCUCAGGCACGAAAGCGUGGGGAGCAAACAGG